rnacentral:rRNA from 1 species
AAUUACCUACGGGGGGCAGCAGUGGGGAAUAUUGCACAAUGGGGGAAACCCUGAUGCAGCGACGCCGCGUGAGCGAGGAAGUAUUUCGGUAUGUAAAGCUCUGUCAGCAGGGAAGAAGAAUGACGGUACCUGAAGAAGAAGCACCGGCUAAAUACGUGCCAGCAGCCGCGGUAAUACGUAGGGGGCAAGCGUUAUCCGGAUUUACUGGGUGUAAAGGGAGCGUAGACGGCGGCGCAAGUCCGGAGUGAAAGCCCACGGCCCAACCGUGGGACUGCUCUGGAAACUGUGCGGCUUGAGUGCGGGAG